AAAAACAUGGCCUUUUGAGUAUUAUUUAAGGUCUAGCCUGCUCAAUGAGUUUUAAAUAGCCGCAGUAUCCUGACUGUGCAAAGGUAGCAUAAUCAUUAGUUUCUUAAUUAGAAGCUGGAAUGAAGGGUUGGAUGAGAAAAUUUCUGUCUCUGUGAAAAUUUUAUAGAAUUUUAUUUUUAAGUAAAAAAGCUUAAAUUUUAAUAAAAGACGAGAAGACCCUAUAGAGUUUUAUACUUGUAAAUUAUGAAAUUUUUAGUAUUUUAAAAUUUAUUGUUUUAUAGUAUUUGAUUGGGGUGAUUGGAAAAUUCGAUAAACUUUUCUUAAUAUAAACAUUUAUUUAUGAGUAUAUGAUCCUUUAAUAAAGAUUAUAAGAUUAAAUUACCUUAGGGAUAACAGCGUAAUUUUUUUUGAGAGUUCUUAUCGAAAGAAAAGAUUGCGACCUCGAUGUUGGAUUAAAAUAAAUUUUUGGUGUAGGAGCUAAAAUUAAUUAGGUCUGUUCGACCUUUAAAAUUUUACUUGAUCUGAGUU
rnacentral:rRNA from 1 species